GAUGAAGAACGUAGCGAAAUGCGAUAAGUAGUGUGAAUUGCAGAAUUCAGUGAAUCAUCGAAUCUUUGAACGCACAUGGCGCCUUCCAGUAUCCUGGGAGGCAUGCCUGUCCGAGCGUCGUUUCAACCCUCGAGCCCCCGUGGCCCGGCGUUGGGGAUCUGCCACGGCAGGCCCCUAAAACCAGUGGCGGACCCGAAGGCCCUCUCCUUUGCGCAGUAGCAUCAGCCUCGCAUUGGGAUCCCUCGGCGUCCUGCCUCUAAACCCCCCACAAGUCCGCUCCGGCGGCACCAAGGUUGACCUCGGAUCAGGUAGGAAUACCCGCUGAACUUAAGAAUAUCAAUAAGCGGAGGA
rnacentral:misc_RNA from 1 species